rnacentral:rRNA from 1 species
CCUACGGGAGGCUGCAGUCGAGAAUCAUUCACAAUGGGGGAAACCCUGAUGGUGCGACGCCGCGUGGGGGAAUGAAGGUCUUCGGAUUGUAAACCCCUGUCAUGUGGGAGCAAAUUAAAAAGAUAGUACCACAAGAGGAAGAGACGGCUAACUCUGUGCCAGCAGCCGCGGUAAUACAGAGGUCUCAAGCGUUGUUCGGAAUCACUGGGCGUAAAGCGUGCGUAGGCUGUUUCGUAAGUCGUGUGUGAAUGGCGCGGGCUCAACCCGCGAACGGCACAUGAUACUGCGAGACUAGAGUAAGGGAGAGGGAACCGGAAUUCUAGGUGUAGCAGUGAAAUGCGUAGAUAUCGAGAGGAACACUCGUGGCGAAGGCGGGUUCCUGGACAUUAACUGACGCUGAGGCACGAAGGCCAGGGGAGCGAAAGGGAUUAGAUACCCCUGUAGUC